rnacentral:rRNA from 1 species
UACGUAGGGGGCAAGCGUUGUCCGGAAUUAUUGGGCGUAAAGCGCGCGCAGGCGGCCUGUUAAGUCUGAUGUGAAAGCCCACGGCUCAACCGUGGAGGGCCAUUGGAAACUGGCAGGCUUGAGUGCAGGAGAGGAGAGCGGAAUUCCCGGUGUAGCGGUGAAAUGCGUAGAGAUCCGGAAGAACACCGGAGGCGAAGGCGGCUUGCUGGGCGUGAUCUGACGCUGAGGCGCGAAAGCGUGGGGAGCGAACGAGG